rnacentral:rRNA from 1 species
GCCCCUUCCUAAGUACAAUAACAAAAUAAAGUUGGGCCAAAGGUUUACACCAACCUUCCAAUAUUUAUAUUGAAUUGUUAUUUUAAUUAUUUGUCAAUUUGUUGAUUAAAUUCAAAAAUCUUCAAAACUUUCAACAACGGAUCUCUUGGUUCUCGCAUCGAUGAAGAACGCAGCGAAAUGCGAUAAGUAAUAUGAAUUGCAGAUUUUCGUGAAUCAUCGAAUCUUUGAACGCACAUUGCGCCCUUUGGUAUUCCAAAGGGCAUGCCUGUUUGAGCGUCAUUUCUCUCUCAAAUCUUCGGAUUUGGUUUUGAGUGAUACUCUUAGUCAGACUAAGCGUUUGCUUGAAAUGUAUUGGCAUGACUGGUACUAAAUAGUGCUGAACUGUUUCAAUGUAUUAGGUUUAUCCAACUCGUUGACCAUUAAAGUAUUUGUUUAUUACACAGGCUCGGCCUUACAACAACAAAAAAGUUUGACCUCCAAUCAAGUAGGACUACCCGCUGAACUUAAGCAUAUCAAUAAGCGGAAGAAAAGAAACCAACAGGGAUUGCCUUAUAAACGGCGAGUGAAACGGGCAAAAGCUCAAAAUUUUGAAAAUCUA